ensembl:lncRNA
GGCUUUUAUCCUCCUCCACAUUAAAAAAUUUUUUCUUUAUGGUGAAUCUUCAGGGGGAGGGGGCAUACACAUUUUUUCUUUUUUGUUUCCCCUUAGUACUACCGGUGCCAAGAGGAUUGUCCAAUAAAAGCCCCGAGAGGAUUAAAAUGGUAGAAACUUCUCUAGAAGCUCAUUUUUAUAACCUUGCCAUCAUAAAGGUUGGGAAAAUGAGGAGACUAGCUCCUAGAGAGCUAUGAAGAUUGGGAAAGCAGGCACCCUGACCUGUAUGGAGCAUGUCAACAUAGGGCAUUCUGAUGACUUUGGUGAGCUCUAUGACUCAGUUUGGUGGCAGAUAACCUCAACUGGUUGCUAAAGAGGGCUGGCCAAGCUCUCCUUUGAGACAGUCUUUCCAGCACUGCACCUUGGAUAGGAACAGAGGACAACAGAGCAUCUCUGCAGAGUUAAAGCCCAGUAGAUGGUAGUAGAGAGCCAUUUGGGGACAGGAUGAUCAAAGAAGAUAUUCAGCAGAGAAAAUACAACAGGAAAUGGAGACAUAAUGCUUUUCAGAGAGCAAUGAAAAACAGAGCCACAGUAUCUGUCCCCAGAGCACGAUGAUAGUUCUCCAAGUUCCAGAGGUGUGAACUGCUUGCCACUUGUGUCUCUGUUAUGAGUGUCUUCCACAUGUGUGCACUGGCCACAGAUGUUCCUGCUGUGCGGGCCCUCCAGGUUCCAGACUCCUGGCUUUCUGACUUACCUGAGCGGCUCUUUCCAAUAGCCUGGAUGCUUGCUAAGUUGGGGAAGAAUGACCAAAGAGAAGUACCCCAGUCAGCAAUGGUUUGGGAUCCCAGAACGUGGACCUGGAUUAAGUUCUCAUCCCUCAUAUUUAUUAACUAUGUAGACCUAGGCAAGCUAGGUAAUCUCUGAGUAUCAGUUUCCUCAUCUGUAAAAUGAAACAGUUGGAAUUGAUGGCCUCUGAGAUCCUGUUCAACUUUGAAUCUAUGGACCUUUGAAUCUAUGAUCUGCUCCAUUUAAUUCAAAUUUAUCACCUUAGUUAAAGCAGGAGAUACCACAGCCUGUCUUACUCUUUGGGCAGGAUGGCAUUUAACAGUGAUUAGGGUAGUCUCUGGGAUAGAACAGUCCUUGCUGAGAGAAGGGUGGUUUAAGAAGGACUCAAGUACAGAAGGGCCUCUGUAUCCACGGGGAAUAUGUUCCAAGACAUGGAUGGUUGAAACCUGAGAUAUAAGCAUACGACUGUAUUUGGGAGGGAUCACAUAUUUUGGGUAUAUAUACGAAAAAAAGUAAAGUAUGUCUCCCCCUCUCUAGAGAGAAAUACACACACUUGUGUGUGUACAUUUCCCCUAUAUAUAGGAAAAUAAUUACAGGAGACACUUGGAUACAAAAACAAAAUGAUAUCUAAUAUUAAUGAUAAUGCUAAAAAUAGCAUAAUCAUAAAGUAGUUUAGGAAAUAUAUAUAUAUAUGUGUGCCCUCUCUCUGCUCCUGUCCCUUGGCUUGGCACUUGGGGGCCUCAACCCCAAAAGGAGAGAUCACAUCUAGGGGCACAGGACCACCAGGGUACCAGUAACUGAAAUCACAAAAAGCAAAAUUAGGGGAUAAGGGGACACUACUGUAAUUGUCUCGCAUAAGGCCAGGUUAGAUCAGUGUCAAGGUUUCUUCAAAGGAAAAAUGUUAUAUCAGAGAUAAGAUUAAUUACACAUUAAAAUUCAUUUUUAAAAGUUCCUAAUUAAUAUCUUUAUUUUUGCUUUUGCAUCUCCUCAGACCUCAUCCUCAUUUCCCAGAGAGCCAUCUCAUAUAACAAAUAGUAUUUUUAAAGACAAAAAAGAGAAAUAAAACCAGAAUAACCGAUAAAAACA